rnacentral:rRNA from 1 species
ACGGUACUUCAGGAAUAAGGAUCGGCUAACUACGUGCCAGCAGCCGCGGUAAUACGUAGGAUCCAAGCGCUAUCCGGAAUUACUGGGCGUAAAGCGUGCGCAGACGGUUAAGUAGGUCUUAUGCGAAAUCCGGUGGCUCAACCACCUGGACUGUAUAGGAAACCCCUUGACUUGAGGUAGGUAGAGGUACAUGGAAUUUCUGGUGUAGGAGUGACAUCCGUAGAUAUCAGAAGGAACACCAAUGGCGAAGGCAGUGUACUGGGCCUUACCUGACGUUCAGGCACGAAAGCGUGGGUAGCAAACAGGAUUAGAUACCCUGGUAGUCCACGCCGUAAACGAUGAUCACUAGUAAUGUGGGGUUUCGACCCCUUGCGUUACGAAGCUAACGCGUUAAGUGAUCCGCCUGGGGAGUACGAACGCAAGUUUAAAACUCAAAGGAAUUGACGGGGACCCGCACAAGCGGUGGAGGAUGUGGUUUAAUCCGACGCAACGCGCAGAACCUUACCGAGGUUUGACAUCCCAGGAAAGCCGCCGAAAGGUGGCCGUGCCUUCGGGA